rnacentral:rRNA from 1 species
AGUCGAACGGCAGCAUGAUCUAGCUUGCUAGAUUGAUGGCGAGUGGCGAACGGGUGAGUAAUACAUCGGAACGUGCCCUGUAGUGGGGGAUAACUAGUCGAAAGAUUAGCUAAUACCGCAUACGACCUGAGGGUGAAAGUGGGGGACCGCAAGGCCUCAUGCUAUAGGAGCGGCCGAUGUCUGAUUAGCUAGUUGGUGGGGUAAAGGCCCACCAAGGCGACGAUCAGUAGCUGGUCUGAGAGGACGAUCAGCCACACUGGGACUGAGACACGGCCCAGACUCCUACGGGAGGCAGCAGUGGGGAAUUUUGGACAAUGGGCGAAAGCCUGAUCCAGCAAUGCCGCGUGUGUGAAGAAGGCCUUCGGGUUGUAAAGCACUUUUGUCCGGAAAGAAAUGGCUCUGGUUAAUACCUGGGGUCGAUGACGGUACCGGAAGAAUAAGGACCGGCUAACUACGUGCCAGCAGCCGCGGUAAUACGUAGGGUCCAAGCGUUAAUCGGAAUUACUGGGCGUAAAGCGUGCGCAGGCGGUUGUGCAAGACCGAUGUGAAAUCCCCGAGCUUAACUUGGGAAUUGCAUUGGUGACUGCACGGCUAGAGUGUGUCAGAGGGGGGUAGAAUUCCACGUGUAGCAGUGAAAUGCGUAGAGAUGUGGAGGAAUACCGAUGGCGAAAGCAGCCCCCUGGGAAACACUGACGCUCAUGCACGAAAGCGUGGGGAAGCAACAGGAUUAGAUACCCUGGUAGUCCACGCCCCUAACGAUGUNCACUAGUUGUUGGGGAAUCAUUUCCUUAGUAACGUANCUNACGCGUGAAGUUGACCCGCUGGGGAGUACGGUCGCAAGAUUAAAACUCAAAGGAAUUGACGGGGACCCGCACAAGCGGUGGAUGAUGUGGAUUAAUUCGAUGCAACGCGAAAAACCUUACCUACCCUUGACAUGCCACUAACGAAGCAGAGAUGCAUUAGGUGCUCGAAAGAGAAAGUGGACACAGGUGCUGCAUGGCUGUCGUCAGCUCGUGUCGUGAGAUGUUGGGUUAAGUCCCGCAACGAGCGCAACCCUUGUCUCUAGUUGCUACGAAAGGGCACUCUAGAGAGACUGCCGGUGACAAACCGGAGGAAGGUGGGGAUGACGUCAAGUCCUCAUGGCCCUUAUGGGUAGGGCUUCACACGUCAUACAAUGGUGCAUACAGAGGGUUGCCAAGCCGCGAGGUGGAGCUAAUCCCAGAAAAUGCAUCGUAGUCCGGAUCGUAGUCUGCAACUCGACUACGUGAAGCUGGAAUCGCUAGUAAUCGCGGAUCAGCAUGCCGCGGUGAAUACGUUCCCGGGUCUUGUACACACCGCCCGUCACACCAUGGGAGUGGGCUUUACCAGAAGUAGUUAGCCUAACCGCAAGGAGGGCGAUUACCACGGUAGGGUUCAUGACUGGGG